UGGGGAAUAUUGCACAAUGGGCGCAAGCCUGAUGCAGCGACGCCGCGUGAGGGAUGACGGCCUUCGGGUUGUAAACCUCUUUCACCAGGGACGAAGCGUGAGUGACGGUACCUGGAGAAGAAGCACCGGCCAACUACGUGCC
rnacentral:rRNA from 1 species